UGGGGGAUAUUGCACAAUGGGCGAAAGCCUGAUGCAGCGACGCCGCGUGGGGGAUGAAGGCUUUCGGGUUGUAAACCUCUUUCGCUAUCGAACAAGGCCCGCUUAGGGUGGGUUGAGGGUAGGUGGAGAAGAAGCGCCGGCUAACUACGUGCCAGCAGCCGCGGUAAUACGUAGGGCGCGAGCGUUGUCCGGAAUUAUUGGGCGUAAAGGGCUUGUAGGCGGCUUGUUGCGCCUGCUGUGAAAACGCGGGGCUUAACUUCGCGCGUGCAGUGGGUACGGGCAGGCUUGAGUGUGGUGGGGUGACUGGAAUUCCAGGUGUAGCGGUGGAAUGCGCAGAUAUCUGGAGGAACACCGAUGGCGAAGGCAGGUCACUGGGCCAUUACUGACGCUGAGGAGCGAAAGCAUGGGUAGCGAACAGG
rnacentral:rRNA from 1 species